rnacentral:miRNA from 1 species
GUACAGCAGGCACAGACAG